UACAGAGGUCUCAAGCGUUGUUCGGAUUCAUUGGGCGUAAAGGGUGCGUAGGUGGCGCUGUAAGUCGGGUGUGAAAUUUCGGAGCUUAACUCCGAAACUGCAUUCGAUACUGCGGUGCUUGAGGACUGGAGAGGAGACUGGAAUUCAUGGUGUAGCAGUGAAAUGCGUAGAUAUCGUAAGGAAGACCAGUGGCGAAGGCGGGUCUCUGGACAGUUCCUGACGCUGAGGCACGAAGGCCAGGGGAGCAAACGGG
rnacentral:rRNA from 1 species